UACGGAGGAGGCAAGCGUUAUCCGGAAUUAUUGGGCGUAAAGCGUCCGCAGGUGGCCAAUCAAGUCUGCCGUCAAAGUCCGGGGCUUAACCCUGGAAAGGCGGUGGAAACUGAAUUGCUAGAGUGUCGUAGGGGUAGAGGGAAUUCCCGGUGUAGCGGUGAAAUGCGUAGAGCUCGGGAAGAACAUCGGUGGCGAAAGCGCUCUACUGGACGACAACUGACACUCAGGGACGAAAGCUAGGGGAGCGAAUGGG
rnacentral:rRNA from 1 species